rnacentral:misc_RNA from 1 species
AUCAGGAAGUGCGUCAGGGU